GCGCCCGGGCUGCGCGCUCCCUCGCUCGCUCGCGCUCUGUCUCUCUCGCGCGCGCGGGGCGGGAGCCGCGGCGGCUGGUGCGGCUGCGGGCGGAGCAGGGAUGCCGGCGGCGGGAGCCCCGCGCGGAGCGGCGAGCGCGCACGAGUGGAAACUUCAUGUACCUGAGGACCUGGCCUAGCAUUUCCACAGUGAUGAUAAAAAUGCUGAUCAGAACUUUACUUUCAUCUUUCCUCAAUUCAGAAGCCUUCUAAAUAUGCAGUUCAUCAACAUACGGUCCACAUUGGUUUUAUAUGCAACACGGAGGCAAGCAAACAGUGGAGAGCAGCAGUACGUGUGAUGCAGUUAAGCAAGAAUAAAAAAUUAAGCAUGAAAAGACAGAGCAGUUUCUAAAAAAUCAGAUUGUGGACUUCAAAAUAAUACCAUAAAGGCUCAUCAUUUUAAUCAAUUAUUGAUUGCACCGUGGGGACUGUCCACCGAUUCUAGUUGAUGCUGCUUUUAAAAUGAAAUGACAGAAAAUUCCAAGAAAUGGAAGCGGCUGCUAGCAAAAGAAGAAAAGCUGAGUAUCAUCAGGGUUAAUAGCUUCUAUUUAAGAUCAAUGAAUGAUUACAGAAUUACUUUUCUGUAUCGAACUUCCAAGUUUCCUUAAUAAUAUGCUGCCUCUCUGGGACAUAGGUGCACUCAUGGUACGAAGGCUAUUUAUUCAUCACAUGGACUAGAAGAGCUAGAGGAACAAUGGCUUCAAAGGUCUCAUGCUUAUACGUUUUGACAGUAGUUUGUUGGGCAAGCGCUCUUUGGUACUUAAGUAUAACACGUCCUACUUCUUCCUACACUGGCCACAGACAGAUCAGUAGCAUAUCCAUAGCCAGAAAAAACGUUUCCUUUGGCAACAUAAGAACUCGACCUAUAAAUCCACAUUCCUUUGACUUUCUUAUCAAUGAACCCAACAAAUGCGAGAAGAGUGCCCCUUUCUUGGUCAUCCUUAUCAGCACAACUCACAAAGAGUUUGAUGCAAGGCAAGCCAUUCGAGAAACAUGGGGAGAUGAAAACAACUUUAAAGGAAUUAAAAUUGCUACACUAUUUCUUCUUGGAAAAAAUGCAGAUCCUGUGCUAAAUCAAAUGGUAGAGCAAGAAAGCCAAAUUUUUCAUGACAUUAUUGUGGAGGAUUUUAUCGACUCUUAUCAUAACCUCACUCUCAAAACACUGAUGGGGAUGAGGUGGGUAGCAACAUUUUGUUCAAAAGCAAAGUAUGUUAUGAAGACUGACAGUGAUAUUUUUGUAAAUAUGGAUAAUCUUAUUUAUAAGCUGCUUAAACCUAACACCAAGCCAAGGAGAAGGUACUUCACAGGUUAUGUUAUAAACGGAGGACCAAUACGAGAUGUUCGCAGUAAGUGGUACAUGCCAAGAGAUUUGUAUCCUGACAGCAAUUAUCCACCCUUCUGUUCAGGCACUGGCUACAUAUUUUCAGCAGACGUAGCGGAACUGAUUUACAAAACCUCCCUUCACACCAGACUCCUUCAUCUUGAAGAUGUGUAUGUUGGACUCUGUCUUCGGAAGCUGGGUAUUCACCCUUUCCAAAACAGUGGCUUCAAUCAUUGGAAAAUGGCUUACAGCUUGUGCAGGUACCGCAGGGUGAUCACAGUGCACCAGAUAACACCAGAAGAAAUGCACAGAAUUUGGAAUGAUAUGUCCAGCAAGAAACAUCUUAGAUGUUAAGAUUUUUACAGAUGUAAAUACCUUUUUUUUAAAUUAUGGUUUAGUCUGGCUAUUUUUUGACAAAGUGAUCUGCUGAUUUACAGGUUAAACUGUGGGAUAUUAACUGUGAGAUGAUUUUUAAUGACUGAUCUUUCAUUUUCAUUUUGACUAAUGGUUUACAGACUUCAGGCUCUUUUCAUAAGGACAUUACACAACUGAAAGGAUCUAGAGUCAGAGCUCAGAUUUUGUAUAUUAUCCUCUAUCACACAUAUCAUCUCCUGCAUCUGUAAUAAAGGACAGUAAUAAACUAUCAUGAGUGCUAAACAGUUCAUGCCCCAGUCUCUGAGAUAAGACUCAGGCUCUAAGAAAUGAAGAAUUACAGAUGCAGCACUACUCUUUUGAAAGGAACUGCUUGUAAAUAAGGUAAAUUGUACCUGGUCUUCAAGCCACAAACAGCAGGUGUUUCAAACAAUUGUACUUCAGAUCUAAAGGUGAAGCUACACAAAAUAUAGCCCAGGAGUUACUGCUAAUCCUACAGGAGCUUGUGCAUCCUUCAGAAAUGAAAAUCAGUGAUUUUAUAUAAAAAAUACUGAAUCUGUUGCAGCAUAAUUAAGAUUUAUCAUUCCCUAGCUGACCUAGUCCUUGUUAAAGUUGCUCUUGCUUCCUGUCAAACUCAGAACUCUAGCUAAACAAGGUCCAACUAGUUGCAUAGAUUAAUAGAUAACACAUUCAAACACUGAUUGGGUGAAGUUCAGCUUUCCUUACCUGAGCCCCAGAAUAUGCUGUUUAGGAAGGGAAAAUAGGGUGGAAUUGAUCCCUAGCCCUCAGGUAAAUCAGACAGCAAGGAUGCCAUCCUGCAAGGAACACAACUGGUAAUAAUUUCAACCCACAGGAUGCAAUCGCUUCUACCAUCCCUCUGCACUGUGCAGUAAUUUGAGGUUUCUGAAUCCAGAUUCAAAUGGAUUUGGUGGCCUUACUUCUCCUGCUGAUGCUUCUGUGGCCUUUGGUUAGUAACCAAGAGGACAGCAGGGCUCCUAAUCUGGAUAUCUCAGGGCUCAAGCAGCGUGGUAGCCUUGGAUUUCUCUUAGUACGAGUAGACUGCAUUAACGAUUAGAAGGUAUACCUUGAAAACAGCAUCUGAAAAAAUGUCUUUCCUGCCAUUUAUAAAUAGAUCUUCAACAGAAAUGUAAAUUUUCCUCUUGGAACUAAUGUACAUAUUUCCAAGGCAUUUUCUUCUGUAUUCAGCUGUAUAUAUGUGUAGAGUCUGCUUGCUAUGUAGUAUUCUGUUAUGCAUGGAGCUGAGUUAGGCAUUAUAUUUGUCCAGUGUUUCAAGAGCCUUAAGCAUGUGUGCCCUAACUUUUGAAUGUACAAGACUUUUUUCUUUUAUUGUCAAGUGAAUUUAAAAGAACACAACAAAAGCCUAAUUUUUUACUUCUAUUAAUUUUCUGAUACUAGACUUAACUAGCUUGUUACACUUAUGUAACAGAUUUCUUACUCUUUGUUCAGAAAUUGUAGUAUUGCAACCUGGAGCUAGAAAGGGAGCAAUACGUCUAUUCAUAAGGACAGCUUCUGUCCCUUCCACUCAGUAGUAUUUGUGCCACACGGGAUACUGUAAUAAACAAGUGUUUGCACUGGACUUCCUUUAAUCAAAAGAAGUAUUUAUGCUACUUAAAGGUCAUUUUGUUUCAUUGGGCAUGGAGCAAAAGGCAACUUGGUUAAGAUGUUCUGGCUUCUGGUCACUUCAAAAGUGUGACUAUAAUCACAUUGUGAUUCCAAAACAUACAUUGAUAAAGCACAUUGAGCAGAGAAUCUAGGGGGAAAUGCCUCUUUUCAGGAAGAGUUUUACACAAAAGCAUUUUUUUUUUGCUAAAACUGUGAGAGUAUUUGAACAGAAGUCUCAAGGUUCAUUUUCCAUCUUUCCUAAUAAUGUUAAGUAUAAAUUUUGAUUCUUUACUGGGAUAUUUUGUCUUUACAAUGUAGAUGGCAAUGGCAAUUUGUAAAUGAAGAGUGUAAUUAACUAGAAAAGCUUGUCAACAGUAACCGAACUUUAGGUGUAUCAUUAUAUAUGACUGGCUGUACUUAUGUAUUUAUUUGUCUAAACUGUAUAUAUUGUUUUAUCUAUAGUGUCUGUAGGAGUGCAUUCUUUUAGAUUAAAGUAUUAUUUACAGUUUUGUGGGAUUGCCAGCAAAGCUGCUAAUCAAGAUACUAUUUUUUUGUAUCAAUGUCAAAUAAUAAAAAAAAUUAAGAACAAAGUCAAAUGAAACAUUGAAGGUGUCCUGUACAGCGUUCUUCUUCACUUCUCUCUAGAAAUGUAAAUGGUGUUAUCUGAAAACACAUUACCAGUGAAUAGGCUCCUUUGUUAUAAGGAAGAGUGUGUUAUAAGGAAGAGUG